UGGCGGCGUGCCUAAUACAUGCAAGUCGAGCGAAUGGAUUAAGAGCUUGCUCUUAUGAAGUUAGCGGCGGACGGGUGAGUAACACGUGGGUAACCUGCCCAUAAGACUGGGAUAACUCCGGGAAACCGGGGCUAAUACCGGAUAACAUUUUGAACUGCAUGGUUCGAAAUUGAAAGGCGGCUUCGGCUGUCACUUAUGGAUGGACCCGCGUCGCAUUAGCUAGUUGGUGAGGUAACGGCUCACCAAGGCAACGAUGCGUAGCCGACCUGAGAGGGUGAUCGGCCACACUGGGACUGAGACACGGCCCAGACUCCUACGGGAGGCAGCAGUAGGGAAUCUUCCGCAAUGGACGAAAGUCUGACGGAGCAACGCCGCGUGAGUGAUGAAGGCUUUCGGGUCGUAAAACUCUGUUGUUAGGGAAGAACAAGUGCUAGUUGAAUAAGCUGGCACCUUGACGGUACCUAACCAGAAAGCCACGGCUAACUAC
rnacentral:rRNA from 1 species